rnacentral:rRNA from 1 species
UACGUAGGGUCCGAGCGUUGUCCGGAAUUAUUGGGCGUAAAGAGCUCGUAGGCGGUUUGUCGCGUCUGCUGUGAAAUCCCGAGGCUCAACCUCGGGCCUGCAGUGGGUACGGGCAGACUGGAGUGCGGUAGGGGAGAAUGGAAUUCCUGGUGUAGCGGUGGAAUGCGCAGAUAUCAGGAGGAACACCAAUGGCGAAGGCAGCACUCUGGGACGGUACUGACGCUGAGACGCGAAAGCGUGGGGAGCAAACAGG